rnacentral:rRNA from 1 species
UACGAAGGGUGCAAACGUUGCUCGGAAUCAUUGGGCGUAAAGCGCACGUAGGCGGCUCCAAAAGUCGGAUGUGAAAUCCCUGGGCUCAACCGAGGAAGUGCAUCCGAAACUGCGGAGCUUGAGUAUGGAAGAGGGUCGCGGAAUUCCCGGUGUAGAGGUGAAAUUCGUAGAUAUCGGGAGGAACACCAGUGGCGAAGGCGGCGACCUGGGCCAAUACUGACGCUGAGGUGCGAAAGCGUGGGGAGCAAACGGG